UUACGACCACACUAAUUUGAAACACCUGUUCUCGUACGAACACUAAAGUUAAGCAACGUCGAACCUGAUCAUUACCUAGAUGGGUGACCGCUUGGAAAUUCCAGUUGCUGUAA